rnacentral:rRNA from 1 species
CCUACGGGAGGCAGCAGUGGGGAAUCUUGCACAAUGGAGGAAACUCUGAUGCAGCGAUGCCGCGUGAGUGAAGAAGGCCUUUGGGUUGUAAAGCUCUUUUGUAGGGGAAGAUAAUGACUGUACCCUAAGAAUAAGGUCCGGCUAACUUCGUGCCAGCAGCCGCGGUAAUACGAAGGGACCUAGCGUAGUUCGGAAUUACUGGGCGUAAAGCGCGCGUAGGCCGUUGAGUUAGUUAAUUGUGAAAUCCCAAAGCUUAACUUUGGAACUGCAAUUAAAACUGCUCGACUAGAGUUUGAUAGAGGAAAGCGGAAUACAUAGUGUAGAGGUGAAAUUCGUAGAUAUUAUGUAGAACACCAGUUGCGAAGGCGGCUUUCUGGAUCAACACUGACGCUGAGGCGCGAAAGUAUGGGUAGCAAAGAGGAUUAGAUACCCUCGUAGUCCAUACCAUAAACGAUANAUNUNUANAUGUGUAAUUAUUUAUAUAUNCANUACNCAUAUA